AAAUAUGAAUUGUCUCCUAAAAGAAUAAGCCAAAAAUGUGAAAAGGAUGAAGACUAGCUGUUCCAGAAUUUUCCAUAUCUCUUUAAGAAGGCCCUACAGACCUCAAAGUUCUGAUCUGUGACAUGAUGUCAGUGUUCUAUAGGUUUUUAACAAUAAGUCAUCUGAUGUAACCUGGUAACAAUGAGCAAGAGAAUCAUUCAGAGUUCCAUGGCCCCAGCAUAUAUGAUGGCACCUCCUAUAACUUCAGUUUACUGGGGUCCAAAACCAGUUAGAUCCAGGAUCUGUUGUUUUAGAUGUCCAAGCAAGUCC
rnacentral:lncRNA from 1 species